GGGAAGCGAGGUAUUGCAAAACGACCUUUCCAGCUUCCUGACUUCAUUGCUGCAACUGGAAUUGAAAAAAUGAGACAGGCAUACAUUAAGAAGGAGAACAGCAAGAUGUUGAAACAGAAACAGCACGACCGUACUCAGCCCAAAAUGGGCAAGAUGGAUAUGGAUUAUCAGGUUUUGCAUGACGCAUUCUUCAAAUAUCAAACAAAACCCAAUUUGACUAGUCAUGGUGAUCUAUAUUAUGAAGGGAAAGAGUUUGAGGUGAAGCUUAGGGAAAUGAAACCAGGUAUGCUGUCCAGGAACCUUAAAGAAGCUCUUGGUAUGCCUGAUGGUGCCCCGCCCCCAUGGCUUAAAAGCAUGCAGCUGUAUGGUCCUCCACCCUCUUAUCCUUGUCUGAAGAUCCCAGGUUUAAAUGCCCCAGUAUCUCCUGGAGACAGUUUUGGUGAUGCACCAGGGGAGUGGGGAAAGCCUCCUGUUGGCGAGGAAGAACCUCUCGAUCGCAGCAAGCACUGGGGAGAAUUGGAGGAAGAGGAAGAAGAGGAGGAGGUGGAGCAGGAACCAAUGGAGGACGAGGAAAUAGAAGAAGGCAUUCGAUCUGUUGACACCAUCUCAAGUACUCCAGCUGGUGCCGAAACACCUGAUGUUAUUGACCUUCGGAGGUCGCAGCCUGAGAGGCAGGCAAAAAGGCUAUACAAGGUAUGUAAACUGUUCCCUGUGUCUGUGACAGUCAUUUAUAGGCACUGUUUGGCUUGA
rnacentral:rRNA from 1 species